rnacentral:rRNA from 1 species
AGUGGGGAAUUUUGGACAAUGGGGGCAACCCUGAUCCAGCGACGCCGCGUGGAGGACGAAGGUCUUCGGAUUGUAAACUCCUUUUGGAGGGGAUGAAUGCCUACGUGAAUAACGUAGGGUGACAGUACCCUCGGAAUAAGCCACGGCUAACUUCGUGCCAGCAGCCGCGGUAAUACGAAGGUGGCAAGCGUUACUCGGAAUUACUAGGCGUAAAGCGCAGGUAGGCGGUUCGGUAAGUCUUUUGUGAAAGCUCCCGGCUUAACUGGGAGAGGCCAAGGGAAACUACCGGACUCGAGUGUGGUAGAGGAUGCUGGAAUUCCCGGUGUAGCGGUGAAAUGCGUAGAGAUCGGGAGGAAUACCAAUGGCGAAAGCAGGCAUCUGGGCCAUCACUGACGCUGAGCUGCGAAAGCUAGGGGAGCAAACAGGAUUAGAUACCCUGGUAGUCCUAGCCCUAAACGAUGCUCAUUAGAUGUGGGGGGUAUCGACCCCUUCCGCGUCGAAGCUAACGCAUUAAAUGAGCCGCCUGGGGAGUACGGCCGCAAGGUUGAAACU